GCUAACUCCGUGCCAGCAGCCGCGGUAAUACGGAGGGUGCAAGCGUUAUCCGGAUUCACUGGGUUUAAAGGGUGCGUAGGUGGGCAGGUAAGUCAGGGGUGAAAUCUGCGGGCUUAACUCGGAAACUGCCGUUGAUACUAUCUGUCUUGAAUGUAGUGGAGGUGAGCGGAAUAUGUCAUGUAGCGGUGAAAUGCUUAGAUAUGACAUAGAACACCAAUUGCGAAGGCAGCUCACUACACUAUUAUUGACACUGAGGCACGAAAGCGUGGGGAUCAAACAGGAUUAGAUACCCUGGUAGUCCACGCCCUAAACGAUGGAUACUCGACGUCAGCGAUACACAGUUGGUGUCUGAGCGAAAGCAUUAAGUAUCCCACCUGGGAAGUACGACCGCAAGGGUGAAACUCAAAGGAAUUGACGG
rnacentral:rRNA from 1 species